UACGUAGGGACCAAGCGUUGUUCGGAUUUACUGGGCGUAAAGGGCGCGUAGGCGGCGCUGUAAGUCACUUGUGAAAUCUCCGGGCUUAACUCGGAACGGUCAAGUGAUACUGCAGUGCUAGAGUGCAGAAAGGGCAAUCGGAAUUCUUGGUGUAGCGGUGAAAUGCGUAGAUAUCAAGAGGAACACCUGAGGCGAAGGCGGGUUGCUAGGCUGACACUGACGCUGACAGCGCGAAAGCCAGGGGAGCAAACAGG
rnacentral:rRNA from 1 species